GGAGAUCUACUCGUCUUGCAACUGCCGAAGACAAGCCUCGAAUGUAGAGGGACCUAUACCUUUUGAAAGACUGAAAUUGUUUUUCCCACAAGAGGAUUUACAACAUUGCAAUUAACUCAAAAGAGAUUUCCUACAUACUCACAUGCUACCCCUGAAGGAUUCCGAGCUAGUCAUCUUGAGGAUAGGAGACCAUGCUGUAAAAGGGAUCCAGCAGAUAGCCUGCAACAGCCAUCAAGACUAUGACUUGGCCUGUACAGCCCCAGAUGAGCUGCCGGAUGACAGUGGCCACAUGAGUGACCCCAGGAAAAGAAAGUCCUACAGCCGUCGCAACUUUGUAAUACCACUGAAGUCUAGAAAGCGAUAAUCUGCAAUUAGUCAAGGCUGCAAACCACUUCAUGGAACUCUGUCAAACAUUAAGCUGUUGGUGGAAGGACGGCAAGUAAACAGUCUACGUCAUCAAAGGACUCAGCGCAUUGUCAUCACCUAUUAGAAACUGAGCGAUGUGGGCAAGGAACCAAGAUCCUUCAGGAAAAUGACAUGAACUUUCUUUCAUACUGUGUGUUACAAGUGAGUGCUAGACUGAGAAAAUACUUCCCACCGUGUCCCUCCCACUGUGAGUGGAUAUAACACUUCUACUUGAAUGGCUUUGGAGCUGUAUGGUUCUGUAAAUGUCAUCAUCAGAUUCUUUUAAGUGGAUAUCAUUUUCUUAAAGCCUGGAACGUGUAUGUGUGUAUAGACACCCAGGUAGGGUUAAACAGGUUGACUGGAAAUUGCUUUUUCACUCAGACUUUUAGUUGCAGGGCAAAUCUGCUAAACAGACACUGUCCCAGACACUCUGAGGAGAAACAGAGAAAUCCACAAACAUGAAAACUAAUGCAGAGUUAACAAAAAUAUUAAAUGAACCCAGCAUGCACUGGCAUAAUUAGCGUGAGGACCCUUGGAUUCAUCAUACUUUCCAGGUAAACAGAAUCUCCAGGGUUUAGAAUAGAUUCUGGCACAUAAUGAAUGCUUCAUGAUUAUUUCCUUGAAAACACACACAUACCACAUUCAUAGCACAUUGAUAUCUAUUACGUUUGUAGAGGAUAACUUCUUGAUUGCUAUAUUUACUAAUUUUUUAAAGGUUUAUUUUGACUACAGAAUUUUAUGCUCAAUCAUUGGAAAUUUGAAAAUAGAGAAAUUUUGAAAAAAAAUCACCCACAGUUCAAUCAAACCAAAGACUUUAAUCCUAUUUACACUUUGGAGUGUCUUCCCUCAGUGCUAUUUUGUUUUUAUGCGGGCUGAUUUUUCUUUUAGUGUGUAUGAUAGUUCACACAUGAUUUCCAUUUUCACUUUUUCUUUCCUUAUAGCAUAUACACAUUUAUCAUGAGUUUUAAUGAACAAUAUUAUAAUAUCCUAUUCUGUGAAUAGACUUUGAAAUGUGUGGUCUCUGAGGUUUUCCUUUAAAAAAUAAGGUUUAAAUGAACAUAUUUAGGAAAAACGUUUUUCUUUAUUGAAUUUAUUUUUGUAAGCUUGGGCCCCAGAAAUGGAAUUCCUAGUAAAAAGAUAAGAACAGCUUAAGUUUUUGAUACAUCAACUAUCUAACUGUUCUUAUGUCUUUGCCAUCAUUUCUUAAACUUUGCAAAUCUGGCAGGAGUGCAUGUGUUGAAUUUGGGUAACGCAGUUCAGGUUUAUGAGAAUGUUAUGAUGUUUGAGCAUUUUUCAUAUAUUGCAUUUCUAUUAUUUUUCUUCAUUUGUAAAUUAUACACCAUCAUUUUCUUAUUGCUCUUUCUUAAUUUUUCUAUAUUAAAGAUAUUAAUAGAUAUUUUCUAUAUUAAAGAUUUCUCAGCUACAUGUGCUACAAACACUUUCUUCUGAUUUUGUUCUUUAUAUUUUUAUUCUUGGCAUGUAGACAAUCUUGACCUUUAUAGAAUCAAAUCCGAUUCUUUGAAAUCAAAUCUAUGAAUCUUUUUUUAAAUUCUAUCUAUUUUAUAUGCUUAUUAGUCUUUUUUCUCUGGACUCUAGAGUAUAGAGAUUUAAAAAAAUGCAUAUUUUUCUUCCAGUUUUAUAUGGUUUAAUUAAGUC
rnacentral:lncRNA from 1 species